GAUGAACGCUCGCGAUAGGCUUAACACAUGCCAGUCGAGGGGCAGCACAAGGUAGCUUGCUAUCUGGGUGGCGACCGGCGCACGGGUGCGUAACGCGUAUGCAACUUGCCCUAUACAGGAGGAUAACCCGUCGAAAGACGGACUAAUACUGCGUAUGCUCACAACUUGGCAUCAAGUGGUGAGGAAAGAAAUUCGGUAUAGGAUAGGCAUGCGUCCCAUUAGCUUGUUGGUGAGGUAACGGCUCACCAAGGCAACGAUGGGUAGGGGAACUGAGAGGUUUAUCCCCCACACUGGUACUGAGACACGGACCAGACUCCUACGGGAGGCAGCAGUGAGGAAUAUUGGUCAAUGGGCGCGAGCCUGAACCAGCCAAGUCGCGUGAAGGAUGACUGUCUUAUGGAUUGUAAACUUCUUUUAGACGGGAAUAACAAGAGUCACGUGUGACUCCCUGCAUGUACCGUAUGAAUAAGCAUCGGCUAACUCCGUG
rnacentral:rRNA from 1 species